ACUGUGAAUGUUACCAACCACAAACCUCCAAGACGAAGGAAAAAAGGCCCCGGUCCCAGAUCGCCCCACGAGUACAAGGUUCCUUCCUUCAAAGAUGAGUACUCAUUCACCUAUAAUUGAAGAUUGAAUCAAAUAACGAUUAAUAUAGAUUUGUUGUCCUGAAAGCCAUAUCACAUCUUCAUCAGGGGUAGUGAGCCACAACAACCGUUGCCAACUUCACCAAGGGACCAUGCAUUAUUUACGUGGAGGAAAACAUCUGAUUCAGAAUCUGGAGUGUGAUAAGUACCGACUGGUGUUGCAUGGUGGGCCCGCUUAGUUGGACAUGUGUGCAAGCCUUUCUUUUGUGGCUUCUAUUUUGGACCGUCAAUUAUCUGGGCUUGCAAGCAACAUUAUCCAAACAUCUGGGGCUUCUGGAAAACUAAUUUUUCGUGUCUGACACUGUGUCAAUUGUGCGAAAUUGUUACCUUCCACGCAGCUCUUUGUGUAUUCCUCAUGCUUUGAAGGGGCUAAGGUUCGACCCGAGAACCCGACCCGACCGGUCGGAUUAGAGUGAAACAGUCAUGGCUAAAGUUGUCAAUGGAGAUGUGGCAAAGAAUCUGUCCUAUGUGGCCCUCAGAUCUUCAUGUAUAUUUCUUGUCCGGCAUAUUACUCUUUGCCGUACUCUUCCAACAUGAAAGAUGAUGCUUUACUGUUUUCCAGUACAGAUGACAAAAGGUCUGAGAUACCACCAUCAAUUUAAGCGCAUUAGUCAAGAGUGGUAGCUGUGACGUGAAAGUUUUCAAAAGCAAACUUACAGUUGUGCGCAUAUAGCUCAAAACAUCACAGAUUAGUAUUCUUUACGUAUAAUCUUUUUGGUUUAACAACUAUGUAAAAGAAUACAACUAUUUCGACAUCAUUUUUCGUAAACUUCUCCUCGGUUCACAUUUCCUCAAA